AAACUAUUCUACAAUACUGUUACGUUCAUGUUAGCGCUUGUGAUUUGUUCCUUCUAUUUACAGUGACUUUUGUUGAAUUUUGGGUUGUUGCCGCCAUAAUUUGAUUGCUUAUAGGAACAUACACUUCUCAGAAGUCCGUAAUAUAAGUGGAUAUUGUCGGUUCCAAAGCUUCUUAAUAGUUCAUUCGGAAUACUGAUUUUCUUCCAAGGAAUUGGGACUUUUAUAGGUCCACCAAUAACAGGUAAGCUGACAUAAAAGUUGAUUAAAUGUAUAAUUAAGGUGUAAGAUUUAUUUAUGGGUGAAAAUAAGGAGAUAUGGUUUGAUUGUAAAUUAGAUAAGUAUCAGCCAUAGUGACCUAGUGAAAGCUAUUAUUGGUCAUCAAUUGGUUUUCCACUAUGAGUAAAAUCCAUACCGUUUAGUCACUUAUAAAAGUCCCGACAUGGGAAAAUGUGUAAUAUUCCAAAGCUUGAUUUUUUGUAAUACAAUGAAUAACAACAAACCUAACAAGACAAUUUGAAAACAAAGGAUGUACUAGGUUUAUGUGUGCCAAAUAAUAACUUCAUUUUAAAGAAGUAUUUGAAUUAAACAUUAGAAGAGGGACUAUAAUACAUGAAUUGACGUAUACUCCUUUAAUUGAUGGUCGUUACUGGUCUGUUUAAGUCAGCUUUAGAUUUAGCUUUCAAACACUUAAACAUAAAUAUAGAGUUAAAAAAAAUAAUAGUUGUUGAUUAUAUUUGGAGAAGAAUACUUGUUGGAAGCGGUGUCUGUAAUUAUAGUAAUUUUUAAAGUAUGAAGCUGGAUCUUUGCUUUUAUUAUAAUGAGCUUCAUGGACUUAAUAGUAAGAAAAUUAUGCAACUCAUGGACCAUAUCAUGAACCCAUCUGAAUGAUUAAAUACCUAUAAAUUAUUUAUGAACUGACCUUGGCGAGCUAUUAUUAAACUAAAGAUAAGUCUUUCAUGACUAUUCAUCUCUCAAGAUCCAGAUGAAAGGACAAGCACCUGCUUUAACAUACAUAUCCAUAAAUAUUGUAAGAGAGGGGUCACGAUCCUUUCUGUUAAGGUUGGUGGUUUUAUUGGCCUUUUUAUACUUCUGUUACUACACUGUUAUUUUGAAAAUAUUAUUUUUUUUAAUUUUUUAAUUCACUAUUUUCUUUUUUCUCAUUUAAGAAAAUUUAAAUUGCUUUUAUAGGUUAUCAGCAUUUUAAAUUUUCUGUUUUGAGCAAAAUAAAAAUGGUAAAACUAGUAAUGAACCCCUUUUGACAUGAGAUGAAAAAACAUAGCUUUCGUAAUGAUGAUAAUUUAGAUCAGCCUUGCUUUUUUAUAAUUAUAAUAAUGUAUCAUAUUUGUUUUCAGACAUUAUUUUUUGAUAGAUAAUAAUUUAUCAUAUUUAUACAUAAACAUGCUUAAUUACAAUACAUGUAACAUCAUUUCCUGUAAAACAAAUAUUUCUCUCUUAUUAGAAUUUGCACAGAAAAGGGUAUUAUGUUUCAGCUAAUAAUAUUGUGUAGAUGACUUGGAUACAUACUUCGGGUUUCUUAUGACGUUCAUCUUCAAAACUAUUUUUUUUAUUGAAUUACAAAUCUUGAAAUUUAAAUCGAAUAGAACACUGCAAAUCAAAACAUUCACUUUUCACAAAGUAAAAGUAGUAAGAAAUUUUAUUUUUUUUUAAAUGAUAAUAUAACAUUCAGAGAAAAUGCAACUUUUGGCAGUUUAUACAAGAAAGAAAUGUCAAGGAUAUUGCAUUUGACAAGUUUCUGCUCUUUAGUUGCAUGAAUACAUCGGACUUUUUUUAACUCUAAAUGACCUCACGUAGUGAGUGAUCGUCAAUACGCCCACUCUCCAUUACAAGCUCUACUUUAAUCAGAUAUUUAAUCUGUCACUUUACACUUUAUAUUUUCAGGUGUGCUUAAAGAUGAAUAUAAUUUCUAUGUUGACAGA
rnacentral:lncRNA from 1 species